CAUGCUUGAAACUUUUAGGAGAAGACCCUAUUCAUAGAGAACUUCAUCAAAAGGCCGACUAAGUCUUGAGCUAGAAGUGUUCAUUAGUGAGAUUUUAGGUCUUCAAUGUCCCUCCUUCAUAUUCCCCAAGAACGUUGAUAAGACUUCGGUAAGGCGAAUUGAAGAAAAAUUCAAACAUUUAAACUAGUGUUGAUGAGAUUCUACUAUUUUGACCUUAUCGUCUAUCCAAAACAUGAGUCUUUGAUGAAGUGUCGAGGGAACACGUUCACUGAUAUGUAUCCAAUCUCUAUCGAGGAUUAAAGAGUAUGAAGGCUUGUCGUCAAUGAAACUUCACCUAUUAUUUAUGGUAUUGGUUCAUGAUUGCCUAGUCUAGUAUAUCAUCAGUAGUUUCUAUAAGAACAUUUAUGAUUGCUGGAAUAUUUUGGCUGACACAUCAAGAUAACUUCUUUGUUAUGGUUAGUUUUAGAAUCAGUUGGGAAAGCUUCUUCCUACUCUUUGGAAACCCGAGACAAUGAAACUUCUAUUUUACCCAUGUCUUGGACUCUAGUAAUCAAUUACAUUUUCUGUUGCAUCUUCAAAAGGAGCUUUGUCCAUUUCUGCAAUGUGGUGUUCAUUUAAAUGAGAAAGGACCAAAUGUAUUAUAGAAUUUGGAAAGUGAUGUUUGAUGGCAGAUCAUCUUAUGUUAUUCUUAGCAUGUUUGUUAGUUAAUUAUAGUAGGUUUUACCAGCAAAACAUAGGUGUAUUAGAUCAAUUGCCUAUGAUUUUUGGACAUUUAUAAUGUUUUCUAUAUUUGAGUUUGUAAUUCUAUUCUUCCCAAAACAUAGCAAUUUUAGGGUGUUCUUGAUGUAAUUCACGAAGAGAUCAAGCAAAUCAGGAAAAGCAAGACAUUCAAAGAUUUAUGUUAUCUUUGGGAAGAUGAAGAAUGAAAAUUCAAGAGGCUUCAGAAGACUUAGCAGAGGGAGAAAUUAUGUUCCAUAGUUCCAUGAAUUUUUACAUUGAAGAAAAUACCAAAACAGGCGUAGAAAACAUGCAAAAUAGCAUAGAAAACACACUAAAGCACCCAUGCGCACCACAAGGGUGCUAGGAGCUCUGGAGCUGAUACACAGAAGUGCCUGGCCCAUGCCAUGGGGUGUUAGGCGCCUCAUACUGGCAGGCACAUGCGCUAGGCGCAUGACCUUAGGUUCUAGGUGAAGCUUGCUUUGCAUGUGUUGUUGUUUUGAUGAUGUUCACUAAGACUCUUAAAAGUUGUUUAUUAUUUUUUUUGCUUUAGGUUGUAUAGCUUAAAGUUAUGUUAAUGCAUCUAGCAAUCUUUGUCCCUUUA